ensembl:lncRNA
AUGAAAUAAGAAUUUGCUCCCAGAACAGGGCUUUUGCUGGCUGAAGUUUUAAAUAAAGAAGUGAAAUACCAGGAUGAAGGAUCAGAAACGUGGUGUUUUGAUGGGUUGUUCGUAAGUCCUAAGUAAGAACUUGAAUCUUAAUCUCCUGGCAUGUGUGUUAAUAAGUGAUUACCAGCUGAUUCAUAUUAUAUUUCUCUUUUCCCACCCUCUCGAAACAGCUGCAGAAAUCCUCAAAAAUCAGAAGAACAGAAGUCUAUGACAAUAGUUAAUAAGUCACUUCAAAACACUGAGGAAUUCACAUAUAGCUGAGACUUGGUUUUCUGCAGGGAGACAGUACGGUGUACCAUGUGAAAACUCAUCAGAGUAAGCAAUCCCAUUGAUUAAGUUCACACUGCAAAGGAAGGCCACAGUACUUCUGAAACUGCUACAGCUUUGAAUCCUUUUUCUUUCUUUCUUUUUUCUUUUUUAAUUAUAACUGGUCCUGUUUUCAGAAGGCCCUGCUUUAGAGUGGGAGCUCAGCAGAGAAUUCAGCUGCUAAGGAAAUGGCAGGUUAGGGCAAAAGGCUCUAAGAGAAGAGCAUGUGGUGCAUGGAUCUUUAUCCCCAGGUUGACCAGUGAUUAAGGAUCAGCAACAACACUGUGCCACAAGCACUGAAGAUGAAAGACCGUUGAUAUGCAAGUGAAUCCCUAGAUGCCACUACAGUUUUAAGGGAGACUGGGGACCACGUCACAUCAGGAAUCAAAGUAGAAAAGCUUCACAGGAAUUGGCUGCUGAAGGGGGAAAAAAAAUGGCAGAAACUGGGCAUAAAUGAGUUAAACAGCCACCUGUGGCAGUUCUUGACACCCUUGCAAAGCUAAGUUCUUGACAUCUUGCAAAGCUAAGGAUGGGUGAACUGUAUAAAACCACCAAAGCAAGUAUCUUGAUCCUUCAAGUCUAGCUAGGAGCCAGAUGAGCAAGUAAAUCUAGCUUUGCAGCACACCUCAUCCUGAGCAAUCCACAUCCGUCAGAGUUAGGUCAAGAAGGUAGAUAGGUAUUAGAAAGGAAUCUCCCAAACUCAAAAGAAUUGCCCAAAGAAAAGACAACAUAGACAGCCAGAGGUACACAAUAGUAUUUUCCAUCAUCACUCUGUUUUGUCCAGAUGUGUAUUACAUUGUUUCCAUAGUCUGCCACUUGAUUCAGCUUUUGUACUCAGUAAAUCAAUAAUACAACCUGUGGAUGACCACAGAAUGUAUAUUAAUGGCAGGUUUUGCUUUUCUUCCCCAGCCCUAUUCAGAUAUACAAUGCCCUACCUUUGUUUUGAGAUCCUUUCCCAUUUCUCCCAUCCCCAACAGAUAACAAGGACAUUGCGUCACAACACACAAAGAGGCCCAAAGGCACGCCUUCAGCAAAGGAAAGGCACCUGCAUUCCAACUGAAGUGUAGCAAGUGAUGGCAAUGUUAGAGGAGUAGUGAGACCUAAUAGAGGGAGUAAAUUCUCUUUCCAAGUUUAGCUGCUACGUACUUCGGCUGAAAAGCUGAAAUGGCCUUUAAAAAGUGAUUACGGCUCAUUUACUAAACUCUAAAAUACACAAUUUGAGACCUGUGGAUAUAGCAGGAGAAUGAAGCCAGG